UGGGUGCACAUCGAUAGAGUUUUGGGCCACGUCCAGGCCCUAGAUGAUAGUAUUAACAAAAUAAACUUCCCUAGCAUAGAUAGUUUCUAUUUUGCUGUGAAGAUAGAGGGAACGCCAAAAACUUGUUGUUUCAUUCCUUCCUUCACCAGCUUGUCAGCAAGGCGUAUUCUGCUCCCUGAAGAUGUGCACCAGCCUUGGUGUACCCAAUUUUUUCUGCAUCAAUUGUCUGCACUCAACUGCAAGUUAGUGUAUUGCAAAUGGUCAUUUUCAAUCAUGUGGAUGACAUCAAAAUAAUCAAUGUUGAUUACUAAGGGAUUAGGUUAUGAUCCACUCCUAGUUGCAACUCUCUAUUUCAAGUUUGGAGCUUUGCCAUCGUAGGGUUUGUAUUAGGAGUGCAUUCAAUGAAGUCUAGCACCCAAUGAACCGUGUUGUCCCGGGAAACCCCCACCAAGUCCUCCUAAUCACGGGGUGUUCUUUACCGCCCAAUCAAUGUUGAACUUGAAGAAUCUCUAUCGGGGGGCUCCCACCUGACCUGAAUGAUAGUUUGAUGUCGUUUAAGCAUCUCUUUUUGGACCAACAUUAGAUGGUAUUCCAUGGUUUGGCUGAUGGUAUUACCACAUUUAAUGUGGUAUUUCUUCUUGUUGAAGAGAUUGUUGUUCCUUGUAAGCUAGAUACUCCUCGAUCAGAAAGGAAUUAGAGUGCCCCGGUUAAAUUCUACUAUUGAAAGGCUUAUUCCAAAUGUAAUUCCGAAGAGGAAUCUAGUUGUUGGUGCUCACAUUCAAGGCCUGGAUAUUGUUGGUGUUAUUUAAAAUAUUCUCCUAAAAUUGAAUUGAAUUAGGGCACUCAAAGAAAAUACGAUUGUUAUCUUCUUUCGGAGAGUUGCAGAAGUGGCUACUAUGGAUAACGUUAAGACCUUUCUGAUGGAGGGAGUGGCUAGUGGGGAGUCCACCAUGGUGGAAAAGUCAGAGAAAGUUUUGGCUUUAUUGUGAGCCUUGGUAGAGCAAAUCUAGUCAAAUUGCUUCCAUUGAUUUUGAUUAUUACCUAGUCUAUGAAAUGAGAUGUGAUUGUAGGCACUACCAGUUGAGAAGAGAUGAUCGCUGGCAAGUUCCAGAUCAGAGUGUCAUGUUGUGAGGUGUUCUAAGGAAUGUGGUAGCAUUUGAUGGUGGCUUUGAGAUAUCAUCAAGUUAAAAGAAAGGAUGUCAAAGUUCUCGAUCCCAUUUACAUAGAUGCUGCUAAUUUUGAGCUUUUCAUCCUCGACCAUAGACGAUUUGACUAAGGACUUGGAGAUGUGGAAUCUAAGUAUAAUAAACCAACCUUCUCACUCUUAUGAACAACCAAUGGUGCUUUUUUUGCAUUCGCAGCAUCCUUUUUGUGUGUUUUUCCAAGUUCUAGAGACUACUCUAAUGUUAUUAGUUAGUUUGACAUGCUUGUGGUUUUCGCUAGCCAAAACUCUGCUCUAAAGGUUGUUAGGGCUUUUUAAAGUCCUCUACGCUAGAGCAACAUGCAGGGCUUUAUUUGUUUCUUCACACUUCUGAAUGCCAAGCCCGCAAGCCCCGUUGUUCCUAGUGAUUGUGUCCCAGCCAAAAAGGUGAAUCUUUCUUUUUUGGGUACUGGUUCCCCAUCUGAAAUCCCUUUGGAUUUUGUUGAUGGAGUAAGUGGUUCUAAAGGGGGUACUAAUGUACUGCAUAACAUGAGAGAGGAUGUUGUUGAGGGUUGCUUUGGCUUGGACGGUUCUGCACAUUAAGUUGAGGAACUUGAUUUUUAUCAUGCUGAAUUGUUGUUCAUGUUAUCAGUAAUAAUUAGGAAAUCCCCAUUGGUAGACCUUUUGUGAAAGAUUGAGAAACCAAGGAUUUCCCAAAAAAUCGUUAGGGCCAACGUUAAGGAGGCUAGAGCACAUUGCAAAGUUUUCAAUGGAGCAAUUCUUUAUAAAGAUCACCUAAGAUUUUUCAAGAUUAAUUUUUUGGCCAGAGAAGAUGUUGAAGCUAUUCAAUGUAUCAAUGAUGGUAAUGCAGUUCCUCAUGACAGCUUAGAAAAAUAAAGUAAAAUCAUCUACGAAAAACAGAUGUGAGAUCUUGGGCCCUGUAGUGGUGGUUUGAUGGGAGUCUAUUUCAUGACAUAGACCAUUUGGUCGAUAUCUCUAGAAAACCUCUCCAUCAGAGUAUAAAGACAUAGGGGAACAUGGGAUCGCCGUGUCGGAUGCCGCUGGAAGGGUUGAAGUAUUCAGUUUCCCCCAUUGACAAGGAUGGAAAUGGAGCUGGAGGUCACACAGCACAUAAUGAAGGAGGAAAUAUUAGUGGGAAAAAUAAUGAAAUGGAGAGUAUCUCUAAUAAAAGACCGCUUUAACCUAUCAAAGGCUUUUUCCAAACCAACUUUAAAAUCAUUUUGGGGUUCUUCCCUUUCAUCUUUUUGAAGUGAGGGAUAUACUCCUAGACAAUGAUAGCAUGAUCGAAAGCUCUUCUAGUGGAAAGGAAGUUGGCUUGACUGGGGCCAACGAUGUUUUGAACUUUGAAGGUGGGGUUUCGUGUGAUUCAUAAUGAUUUUUUUCACUAAUUUAUAACUCAUAUUACAAUGACCAAUGGGCCUGAAAUUUUUAAGCAUGGAUGCAUUUUGGCACUUGGUGAUGAGUCAAAAAAGGGUGUUGUUCAUGUCAGGAGAAAUGAACGGUUAUCUAAUACCUUUUUACAGGAAUAUAAUUAGUAGUUUUCUCCCCCGCUAGAUCUCAAUAUUUCAGAGGCUUAAAAGAUUUUGAGCAAUGAGAAUUUCCAGGUCUCUGAUGAGAGAGUCCAGAAGGUCCUUGGCUUCGUAGUGCACGAGUCUGGUCCUCUAGGGGGCAAUUUUCAGAUUGGGAAUGGGCAGUGGUAUAGAUCUUGGUGAAGUAGUUGAUGAUGUUGACUUUAAUGUCCUUGUUAUAUAAGUACUUAUUUCCCACAUCAUCUUGAUACAGAAUUUGUCCCUACGUCUUCAGUUGAGGGUGGAGGUAUAUAGAAUCUAGUGUUUGCAUCUUCGUCACUUAACUAGUUGAUCCUAGGUUUGAUUUUCCAGAAUUCUUCCUCAGCUCUAGGAGGUUGUCAUAGUCAAGGAGGAGUUCAUUCUCGAGGUCUUGAAGGAGGGUAGUGCUAUGGUAGUUAGCAGAAUUUUGGAUGCCUUCAAGCUUGCUAGAAUUUUUUUCACACUAUUGAAGAUGUUGCCAAAAGUUGAUUUAUUCCAACUGGUAGUUUCCUUCCAGAAAAUAUCAAUAUAUUGCCUAGGGUGUUGCUUAUGUCAAAACAUUGCUUAACAAUACCUUGAAAGGAUGGGCGCCCACUGCCCACACCACAUGGUUCUAUUCUAAAAUGCUUGUUGGUAGCAUUAACAACCUGAUUUUGGAGGCUCACAAGCAACAGACAGUGUGGUCUGAUAGCGGCAAUUACACAUUAGUCGUAAAAAAUUCCUUUUAAUUAAAAGUAUUUUUGCUGUUUUACUUAAUUGUUAAAAAACAAAUUGACUUUCUCCUGGGUUGUGACUUGUGAGAAUCACGUAUCAUCCGCUUCCCCUUUUUCUUCCACCACCAUCCGAGCCACCGUGGCCACCGCCAGAGGAGCCACCAUAGACACCGCCAACGAAGCCACUGUAGAUAUCGCCAUUGGAGCCACCGUAAUUUCUCAAACCCUUUCUCGUGUCUAACUCCUUUUCCAUUCUCGAAUUUCUCCAAUUUCUGGUUUUUAAUGGUGAUCUAAGAUAUAAAAGUUCCUGAUUGUAGAUCUAAGAGGUAGAGAAGUGUUGAUUUCUAGUUUUGAUAGAUCUGUGGCAUGAUAAUGGUGAAAGUUUUUCAAGUUUCCGCAUACAAAUCUACUGAUCUAAGGUGAUGCAUCGAGAUUCCCUUUCAGAUAACUUGGUUUUUGAGAGUAAAACAAAGAAAGGAAGCAAUGCACUUCUUGCUCGAGCAUAGUCUCCUGGUUGGAGCAAUGCUGAUAAGGCACUCACUAGUCACUACUUUCUAUAAUGAACCAUUGAUUGGGUUUCUGUUACCGUGUUUACAUUUUGGUGAAGUCAGUAUUUGCGAGGUAUUCCAUAGUAUUCAUACUAAACAAAUUCUCUGGGCUAAUGAAGGAAACUAUGCUCAUGUCGAUUGUCCAAGGCAGACUGAUUAUGUUACAUUGUAGGGCUUGAGCAGAAAGAUAACACUUUUUUGGUUGUUGCUUUCUAGUUUUUCAAUUCUGCUACGCAGUUGCACUAUUUCUAUUACAGUUUGGGGUGAUUAAGCUUCCUAUGAACUUUCUCAAGUCUUAAAAGUGAUUGCACCUGCGAGACUCUUAGAUGUUUUGUGACGUUUCUUUAACUACUUGAACAUAUUGUUCCACUUUCUUUUCAGACAUUUGCAGCUCAAAGAAAGUAUCAACAACACAUGUUUCGUUGAACCUCUAAACCUGAUUCACAGUUACAGGAAAUAUCUUCCCUUUUGGAGAUUUUUGGUUUACUAAGAAGGAACAUUUUUUUUGUGUUCUCAAGUGAAUGGUACAAUCCUGCUCGCGAGUGAUGUCGAUCAAUAGGGACUAGGAAGAAUGAAAUAUUAAAGAUGACACCAUUUGGAUAUAAGAGAAAGGAUGUUUUAUUGAUCGGAGUUGGAAUUACACUUCUAGGAGUUGGCUUAAAGAGUGGAAUUGAGGUACUUCGGUCUAUGUCUUCCUUAUGUUCCGGUUCAAUAUUUGCAGAUCAUUUCUAGCAGACCAACCGGUGAACGUAAGGUCUCUGAUCCAAAUAUACAAGAUUGGGUUUCAAUGGGAGGUUAUGGAAAGCACGGUAAUAGAGAAAACAGUAAGAAAACUCAUGUUAAGUGAAGAACGCAAAGAUGUGAAGAAAAAAGUAGCUGACAUGCAGCAUAGUAUAGUUGCUGGUGUGCAGAUUGAUGGUAUUUCACAUAAGAAUAUGAAAGAUUGUUAGACUUCAUUUCUGCCAUCCAUCAUGGAUCCCUCCACCAACACAUGUUGCUGGGACAAUCUUGAGUUUAAACCAAUACCAAGCAAGUGUUGGAAGAAUUACAUAUUUUGUUGCCUGCUACCUUGGCAAGACAACAACUCCUCAAUCACAAAAGGAAGAAUAAAAUCCUCCCGAUAUUACAUAUGAUUGUGAUCCAAGUUGUUAUACUUUUACUGUCUCAACUUCUUGUUUCUUCAUUCUUAAACACAUUCUUUUUAUUUGUUUUGAUAACUUGAACACAAUAUUAUAGGUAAUUCAUAUUUUUACCACUAGAAGACAAUAAAGUGGAUGUAUUAAGUUUUUUAUUGUUCUUUUAAAA